AUACGGAGGGUGCAAGCGUUAAUCGGAAUUACUGGGCGUAAAGCGCGCGUAGGCGGCUGAUUAAGUCGGAUGUGAAAUCCCUGGGCUCAACCUAGAAACUGCAUCCGAUACUGGUCAGCUAGAGUUUUGGAGAGGUAAGUGGAAUUUCCGGUGUAGCGGUGAAAUGCAUAGAGAUCGGAAGGAACACCAGUGGCGAAGGCGACUUACUGGCCAAAAACUGACGCUGAGGUGCGAAAGCGUGGGUAGCGAACAGGAUUAGAUACCCUAGUAGUCC
rnacentral:rRNA from 1 species